CCUACGGGUGGCUGCAGUGGGGAAUAUUGCACAAUGGGGGAAACCCUGAUGCAGCGACGCCGCGUGAGUGAAGAAGUAUCUCGGUACGUAAAGCUCUAUCAGCAGGGAAGAAAAUGACGGUACCUGACUAAGAAGCCCCGGCGAACUACGUGCCAAAAGCCGCGGUAAUACGUAGGGGGCAAGCGUUAUCCGGAUUUACUGGGUGUAAAGGGAGCGUAGACGGCAGCACAAGUCUGGAGUGAAAUCACGGGGUUUAACCCCGGAACUGCUUUGGAAACUGUGCGGCUGGAGUGCCGGAGGGGUAAGCGGAAUUCCUGGUGUAGCGGUGAAAUGCGUAGAUAUUAGGAGGAACACCGGUGGCGAAGGCGGCUUACUGGACUGUAACUGACGUUGAGGCUCGAAAGCGUGGGGAGCAAACAGGAUUAGAUACCCUAGUAGUC
rnacentral:rRNA from 1 species